ensembl:lncRNA
UUUGGCAAAAGAUCGGUUUAUUUAGAAAAGGUUCAGAAAAAAUGAAGAGACACAAUAGACAUCAGAAAUGGUAAAUAUGAACUAGAGUUGGAAAACCAUAUACAUAUAUAUAAUUAGCAAGAAAAAGGUUUUAACAAUUGAUAAUGGAAAAGACAAGUUCCCCAGUGGAACUCUUUUGGCUGACAGGUUAAAUCUAUAAAAGAGCUUUUCACCCUAAAAGAGUUAUUUAACAGGUUUGUAUCCCAAAGAAAUCAUAAAAAAGGGAAAAGGACCCACAUGUGCAAAAAUGUUGGGAGCAACCCUUUAUGAAGUGGCAAGAAACUAGAAAAUGAGUGGAUGCCAGUCAGCUGGGAAUGGCUGAAUAAGUUAUGGUACCAUGAAUGUUAUGGAAUAUUAUUGUUCUAUAAGAAACCAUCAGGAUUGCAAUAACUGUAUAAAUAUGUUUACAUAUAUUAGAUUUAACAUAUAUUUUAACAUAUUUAACAUGUGUUGGACUACCUGCCUUCUAGGGGAGGAGGUGGGGGAAAAAAUUUGGAAUGGAAAGUUUUGCAAAGGUCAGUGUUGAAAAAUUACCCCCGCAUGUUUUGUAAAUAAAACGCUUUAAAGGGAUCAAGUGAUCUUUAAAACCUUCUGAAGACAAUCAGAAUCGAUUCAACCGAGUCUUAAACCUGGAUCAUAUACCAGCACCAUUUUAGGAAACUGGAUCAUAUUUGGGCCAGAAGAGGCUUCAGUUUCUUAGGGUACACUUUUGUAACUUUUUAGACUUUCUGGAGUACAAUCAAUAGCAUUUUGAGGCAGAGUGGAAGUGGGGGAACAUGUAAACCUUGGGGUCGGAAUGUUAACUCUGUGGUUCCAAGAGUUGCCAAAGUUCAGGUCUGUUCAAAUGGGAUGAUGUUUUCUCUGUAAUUCAUCUUAGUAGAACACAUUGUUUGAGCAGGCAACAUUUAGGAUAGUAAAGGCCUCCUGGAGAUAAUCAAAUCAGGUACAAGGGAAAUCAAAUAGUCAAGAGGGUCUACCUCUAUAUACACAACAUUCAUGGUCUCAGAGGUUACUUUUCAAUACUUUUGGAGGAGCAAAUAUCUCCCCCAAACUGAAGGUACACAGGUUUAACUACCUCCUCCAAAUAUUUAACAAUUUGAGAGUGUUAAAGGGCCAGCACUUGGGACCCAAUUUCUCGUUUCAAAAGAAAAGUCAUCCCAAACCUAUUCUGUUCCUUAAAUUCUUGACACGGGGGAUGCUGUGAGUCUGGAAGAAGAGGCAAGUAGUACCUGGCUCCUUCUUCAAAGGAAGGAAUGUUCCUCUUGGGAUUUCAGAGAAAAUAACUGAGAAGGGCUCAUCAGAUCCUCCUAGAUACAUUGCUUCCUACAACUGGCAGCUGUUACCUUUUAAUGUAUAAACCGUGAAAAAUAGCUGCUAUACCCAGGGGAGAAAGAAACAGUGCACAUAAGAGAAAGCCAGAGUUAAGAGGCUUGAAUAAAUGAUAUAAAUGAAAAAGUUUCUAUUAAAUGUUUACUACAAAACAAAAUCUGAGGAUAUUAAAAAAAGGAAACUGAGACUCUUGGUUUUUAAUUAGAAAAGACAAUUCAACUACAGGAUGAGUAAAAAUAUUCCCAAAACCACAGGAUAAAAAAUGGCAAGGUCCAAUGAUCUUUAGGGAUAUAGAAGGAUGUUCUUUAUGGGUAGCAGAAGUUGCAGGUAUAGUCCAAACAGGACUGGUCUGUAAUAUGGGAAUGGCUAGAGUGAGACAGAGCAGGCUAGAGAUAGUGGUGGUUCAAUUCAUUUCACAGUGAGGAAGGCAAGUUUUUAAAAACUAAGACCUCCUGGAGAGGUUUCAUCUUUCUAGGCAAAGGCAGUGUUGAUACACAUAAAAACACAAGGAGGGAAACGUGCUAUGUUCACUUUUUUCUGCUUUGUUUUUUCUCUCCCAUGGUUUUUCCCUUUUGUUUUCAUUUUUCUUCCAACAUCAUUCAAAAAAAAAAAAAAAAAGUGUAUUUAAAGAAUAUACACAUUAAAAAAAAAAAAAAAAACAACGAAAAAAGAAAACAUAAGGGAGAAGGGAACUUGGAUCAGAGCACAAUGAUUCCCAGGUUUUGAAACAGUUCCAACGGCAGGCCCACCCCUGCACAGGCAUUUUAAGAACACGGGUGUUUUUAAGUCCUGAGGGAAUAGUGCUUAAAUUGAUUGUGUCAAAUCUUGAGGGUGACUGAGCCUUGUGACUGUUCGACAGGCGUACUGAACCAGAGUUAGCAGGACAGGAAGAGAAGUACAAUAGUUUCUAGUUCAGUUCAUUUCACAGUUACAUAAGCACAGGAAUUCGGGGAUUGUGAGUGUGUCAAGAGUCUUGAUUUAUCACCUUCUAAUGCAGCAUGUGAGUUGUAGCUCUGGUUACCAAGCUAGACUAUUUUCUGGGAAAUUGGAAGUUCUAACAUGAAUUAAUAUGGAAAUCAAUCUUUUGACACAGAAGAGGUAGAGAUGAGAUGCUCUUCAGGUCUGUCUGGAGCUGGGUCUCUCUGUGCUAUCAGAAAUCUCCUUUUCUGUCUCUUUCUUAUUUGGCUGCCAGAUCUUACAAACUUACAAAGUCAGUGAAAGAAUGACAGGAAGGAUGAGAAAAGAGCAGUAGUUCCCCAAAUGGAUCCUGGGCAAGGGGAAGUUAAUUAUCCCAAGGAUCUCAAGGAGAUCAGAAAACUAGUGAUAGUUUUCCUUUGGCUACAUGGGUAACAGAGGUUUGUGAUCUUGAAUCGGCUAAUGAUGAUUAAGGACAUCGAAAUGAAGAGAAUUUGCUCAAGGCUAUUCCAAGGUGCCUCCUGAGCUUUCAUUUUUUUAAUAUAAGGGUCCCCUGCACUGGGCUAUUGACAAUACUUCCAUUUUCAUGUUUCCAGGAUUCUAGGUAGUAAUUGGCUUAAUGGGAUUUAGGGAUCAGGUCUCCCCACUUAUUUCCUAUAGGGACCAAGGUGCCACCCCAAAUACCCAAACUCCUUCAAGUGGGCUGACCUGAGCCUUUUUAUCACUGUUUUAGGAGCAGAGAUUUUCCCAACAAGUUGGGAAGGAGGGAAAGAAGAAAAGCAGGAAAUUAGUAGUUAUUGAGCAUCUACUGUAUAUCAUUUUAUAAAGGGCUUUAUAAAUAUUAUUUAGGGAAGUAAGGCAAAAAAAAAAAAAAAUUUCAUAGGCAAGUAGACAACCAAAUCUCCUAAAGAGUUGGUUUGUUUUUGAAACUGUUUCUCAGUGGUUUGAUCAAUGCUAAGGGCAGUGUUACUGAUAUUUACUUCUCAAGAAAAUACCAUUACAGAUGCCAAAAUUUGUUUUUGGUUUGUUUGUUUUGGUUUUUUAAAGUCAAAUGGUACAUUGAAACUUCACAUUGCUCAAGGGAUGGAACAGACAAACAGAGCUACUGAUACAACAGGCAGGAGGCUGGGGAGAAGAAGAGCAAUAGAAUCAGGCAGCUCCCGCCUGUCCAGGAAUCCAACAGGGUAAGCCUAGAACAGGGUGAUCAUUUCCGAUGAGCACCAGAGAGGUCUUUAUAUGCUGGACUGCUGAUCCAGCAGCAAAGCAUGUUAUUAUGAACCUCCUGGAGGGCACAGAUCAUGGGUGAGAGAUAUCAACAAUCCCUAAGGGUUCUCCACAUCCACGAUCUACAAUUAAGGCAAAGUACAGCCAUCUCCAAGGUAGGGCUAAGGCACAGGAACAGGGUGUUUGUUAAAACACCGCCAUAAUCCAGAUGCUUUUUUUUUUUUUAAACCUCCCUCCCUCCCUUCUCCCAAGAUUAUAUCUCUCACCUUCAUUAGAGUUGUUUCCAUUUUCAGGGUCCCAGUGCUGCUGGCUAACAGGGACGGCAAGCCUGGGCUUUUUAAUUCUUUUGUACUUCUGCUUAAGAGAAACACAAAAUCUAUUCUCUCCAAGCACCAAGGGUCUAUGAAGAGCAUCCCUUCACUCAGUUUAGACUGGGCGUUAUCCUUAAAAUCUUGGAAUGGGAAAGUUCCCCCAGAUUAGGAAUUUAAGGCAGAAGCUGAAAUUACAAAAAGACGACAGAAAUCACAUCUCCUAAUAAGAAGCCAGGGUUUGGGUUUUAUAAAAAUUAUUUCUCAGUGGCUUGGGCCACAUCAAGAGGAUGGGUUUGGAGACUCCCCUACAGUCUAGGCUUUCAGAAGUGACUUGUCUCUUAGGACAGCUAAUAAGUCAACUGACGUUGGCAUUGGCGUAUAAGCCAAUAAGGGCACUCCCUUUUCCAAUGACCAAGCUGUUUACAGUAAAAGCACGCAUUAGGGUGAUAGGACCUCUGAGGACUUUUAGGGCCUUGCCAAACAACCACCUUCAGCUCUGAUCUAAGCUCCCAGUAGACUUCAGCUAUGGUUACUAAUUCUUGCAUGGAUAGUUCUUUCCACUUCACAUAAGUAUGCAACUGUUCUUGAAUUUGGGGGAGAAGGCCUUGGACAAAAGUGAUCGCCAUCCCUUGGGUGGCACCAUUGGCUGGGUCAUCAAUGCCAGAGUGUUCCUCAAAGACUUUAUUAAAUCGAUCAAAAUACCUGCUAGGUUCCUCAUUCAUUUCUUGCUUACAGCUUAUAAUUUUCCCCCAAUUCGAUUUUUUGCGGCAGACCAUUGGAAUAGCAUUGAGUAAAGCCUGCCAGACCCAAAUUAAGUGUUUCCCUUUCCCAGGAUCAUCCAUUGGCCAAAGUGCCUCUUCAAAGAGGUCCUUUCUGACUUUUCUGGGCAGUUUAAUUUUCAAAAAAGUGUUUAUGUCUGCCCAGGAGGGGUUAAAAAUAUCAAUGAUAUAAGACAGCUGUUUCCUAAACUCCAUUGGGUUUUCCUCAAUGCUAGGAAGCUUAUGAACCAUAAGAAACAAAUCCUGAGGUCUAAUAGCACAAUCACCAAAACAUUUGUUCCACUCUGGGUACCCCAUCCCUGCAGGUCUGGGAGGACACAGCCAGGUGUGUCCAGCAUUUGAGACUUCUAAUAGGGGUAGGGGUAAGGAAGAGGAGGGAGCUAGAGCCGGAAGUGGAGGGGCAGCAGCUGGAACUGGAGCCGGAGGUGGAGGGGCAGCAGCUGGAACUGGAGCCGGAGGUGGAGGGGCAGCAGCUGGAACUGGAGCCGGAGGUGGAGGGGCAGCAGCUGGAACUGGAGCCGGAGGUGGAGGGGCAGCAGCUGGAGAUGAAGGUGGUGGUGGAGGGGCAGCAGCUGGAGAUGGAGGUGGUGGUGGAGGGGCAGCAGCGGGAGAUGGAGGUGGAGGGGCAGCAGCUGGAGAUGGAGGGGCAGGAGCUUUCUUUUUGGGAACUUUUUGAGAACUCGGGAUCUUCUGUUUUGGUGGAGAGUGAUUUAAAGACUCAAAAGUACGGAUCUUAUCUUCCAGUUUCUUAAUGGUAUCCAUAUGAUGCCGAUUCUGAGCUUCUGUGUGCCAAUCAAAGAAAGCUUUCCACUCACCUUGCCUGACUUUAGAGCCUUGAGCUUCCAGGACCUUCUUCAGGUGCACUAUUUUACCCAAGUCAAAUGAUCCUUCUAGUGGAAACCACUGAGAGCCAUCAUAAGGCUCAUCAGCUCGUGUAAGCCUAUUCCAGCGAAGCAGAAAUUUGCAGCACUUUGGCUGGUAAUGGACAUACAUAUAUGAUACUGGCGUUCCUACCUCUGGAAAAGCUUGUUUUCUACCUUUAGAAGUGUUGUUCCCCAUUCCGGCAGCUCUUCCAA